rnacentral:rRNA from 1 species
GUCCACGCCGUAAACGGUGGGCACUAGAUGUGGGGACUUUCAACGGUUUCCGUGUCGUAGCUAACGCGUUAAGUGCCCCGCCUGGGGAGUACGGCCGCAAGGCUAAAACUCAAAGGAAUUGACGGGGGCCCGCACAAGCAGCGGAGCAUGUUGCUUAAUUCGAGGCAACGCGAAGAACCUUACCUAGGUUUGACAUGUACGGAAAAGCCAUAGAGAUAUGGUGUCCUUCGGGGCCGUACACAGGUGGUGCAUGGCU